rnacentral:lncRNA from 1 species
GCAACAUGCUACCUAUUUCUUUUUCAUUUUCUAGCGUGUCAAACAUCCUAAAUUGAACAUGUCAUAAAACUUCAAAGUUCAAUAACUAAUAUAGCUACAAUUCAAUAACUAAUCAACGUGAAACCCUAGCCCUCUCCUGAAAAAAAAAAAAAAAAAAAAAAAAAAAAAAAAAAAAAAAAAAAAAAAACCUCUCUAGCCGCACUAACCUUGAGGGGGGAAGAGGUCACUGUUCCUCCUCCUCAUCCCAUCUCCUCUCUGCUUUGACACACAAAUCCCCUUCCCCUACUUUUCCCUCUCAUCUCCUUCCCAACCUUGUCCCCUCACCUCACUUCCUUCUUACUCUCUCUCUCUCUCUCUCUCUCUCUCUCUCUCUCUCUCUACAUGGUUGCCUUUGUUAGUUUUGUUUGGUUGUUUUGCAGAUCUCGGGUUCCAGCUCUUGAUUUACUUUGUGUGUUUUAGUUUUUAUCUGUAAUAAGUGCUUCAACUCUUUUUGAGUUUGUUGCGUGUUCAUAGUAUCUACUUGUAAUUUUUUACUUGUAAGAGUUUAAAGAUUAUAGUUUGCUGUUGUAGUUUUGUGCAUUGUGGUCUAUGCCUGACUUUUGCAGGCUUGCGACUUUUAUGUCGGAAUUUCUUUGGCCCUCUAUCGCUCUUUGUGGAGGUACACUUGUGCGCAUGAUGUUUCCGGUGGAGUCCUCUGUAUUUAAAUUAACCCCUUGUGGUUAUUGAGCUUCCGUAUUUAUAAUAACCUUAAGUGGUUAUUUGUAUUUGUACUGGCUCUUAUGGUUGGCCUUUGUGCCUUAAUUAUAGAUGCAAUCUAUCGUUUUUAUUUGAAAAAUAUCAAUAACUUCAAGGUUCCAACAAACUUCAAAUUCAACAUCCAUAUGUAAAUAUUAUCCAAUUAGAUGACUUCACAUGUAUAAUAAAAUAAAUAUAUAUAUACACACACACACACACACAAGUAGGCAAUCGAGUUCAGUUUAGGCCGGUUUGCAGCAAAAGUUCAAAACCAAAUUAUUUAUAGUCCGAUUUAUUUUUUAAACCGUUAAAUUUUUUCUUGAUUAAAACCAAACCAAACCGAUAAUUAUAAUUUAAAUAAAACGGUUUAAUCGAUUUGACCGGAUUGAUUCCCACCACUAUCAUAAAUAUAAGAUAAAAAUAUACUUAAUUACACGUAACCCCAUCCUUCAUUAUUGUGCAGCAUAUCAUUAUCCCACGUUUGAGAAAAAUCAGCCCCGAUUGCCAGAAAUAUCAAAGGCAUCUAGAUCCUAGAGGAUGAUAUUUAAAGUUUAAACAAAUAUUCUACAAUACAUGUAGAAGAAAUACCCACUUGAGCUAGUAACACAACAGCAUAAGCUCUUUUCCGUUGGAUAUCUUACAUUCUAGAUCACUUAUCCCACCAUUCCAAAAUUCUUCGUUAUUGUUCACUAGAAACAUUGACUUCCCUAGUUUGCUGGAUUUUCUCUCUCUUUUCAUUCUUCCUAACACGAUUUUCUUCUCCCUUCAUAAAACUAUAUGUACGCUGUCUCACCCUCUAUGAUCACAUCAACAUCAUAUUGCCAACUUUCUUUAUCAACAUAAUGUUUCCAAGUUGAUCAAAUAAUAGGACUAAAUUGUUCGGGUUGAAUGGUUUGAUCAGAUUGACCCAAAAUUGUACCCACCCCCACCUUCCACUCCAGAUCUAGAUUUUUUCUAUUUCUUAUUCUUCUACUCAUCUAAGCCCCUUCUUCUAGCUCCAUGCACUCACCCAUAACCUACCUAGCUGCCAUUUACCAUGCAUUGCUGUGCUAUUUAAGACUCUACCUUUCUUCAUCUGAAGAGGUCGAGAGUAAAUGAACAACACAUUUUGAAAAUCUAGCAAAAAGUACAAAAAUGCAAAUUCACCAAUAACCAGUUUUCUCCCAACCAUGUUUAUUAGCUUUUGUCCCUUCAUUUCAAAACCACAACACAACAGAGUCAUGCAUGUCAAUAGGUCAAAACAAGACAGCUUUUAAUAACUUGGCACACCAAAGAAUUUGGUUAGUUUACUUUUCUAACUAUAGCAUGAUGAAAUUCUUACAUACAACUGGUGUAUACUAACUAUUCAAAGUAUUAUCGUUAUAUUUAAAUUCAUAAGUCUCUGAUAUUAUCUAAUUAAUUUAAAAAAUCUCGAACUUAAUAAAGUCAUACAAAUAUUAAUUUAAAAGAUCUCGAAGAUCUCAAACUUUAUAGAAUCAUACAAAUGUUCCUCUCGCGAUAAUUAAUCAUGUGACAAUUACAUAAAAGGAUGAAUGGAAGAGAGGUGUUGCAUGCGCACCUCACCUCAUAUGCAAGAAUUUUUCCGAGUAGAGUAAUCAAGAAAUUAAUGAGAAAUGAACACGUUGCGUUGCCACCUUGAUUGUGUGAGUUGGUGAAUUACUUGAAACAUCUCUGUCCACCAUCUCCCUGUCUCAUCACAGCAUAAGUACAUUUCAAUAACAUGUAUUUGACAACUAACUAUAAGCCUCUAUUGACUUUCCCACAAGUUCAAAAAUCUCAUGUCAUAAAUAUCUCUGACUUUCAAUGCGUUCAAAACUAUGCGAAAAUGUUGACUUUGAAUAAGUAAGCAGUGGACAUGUGUCCGUCGUGUCGCUUUUGAUGUCGUGGAUGAUGGAACUGGGAAAAUGAUAAGUCCAUUUUUGUGGAUAUGAUUGUAGUCUAGUUUCCUAAUUACGUCUGAAUGUUUGUUGUUCCAAAAUUGAAAAUACAUGCAUGGUGGAAAAUUCUAGCUAGGAAAGGGAACCCUCUUGGUUUUCGUUUCCCACUCUUCAAAUUCUUGGUUCAGUUGAUGACUUUACUUGAUGAAUAUUUGCUUUUGCUCCAUGUCCUUCUCUCUAGAGCGCUGAAGUAGAAAAAAAAUGGAUACAAGACCGCGAUAUGUUCAACUUUGGAAGGCUAGGUUUUUGGUGAGUUUGAAUUUAGGGGAAGAGAUUAAGAAAAGAAGACAGAGAUUUUGGAGUGAGGAAGUGGGAAUUGUGGAAAUGAGCUUUCAUUGAAUAUAGGCGAUUCCGAAUCCGACAAAUAGGAUGGAGACAAGAAGAGAACGAAACCUCCUAAAUCUACUUCAGAAAAAUUAAAUGAAUAGAGUCACCAAUGAGGCACUACUGCUAUGCGAUGACGUAUUUAGAUUAAAGGAAUGCAAAUAUGAGAUCAUUGAGUUUGUAUCAAAAUACAAAUUUUCAUUAAGUUUAUUUUAAAAUACAAAUAUUUGAUAUUGCGUAGUCAUUUAUCCAAUGUGAGAUAAUUCAGGAGAUAGUUUAUACAAUACCUAAGAAGAUGAUCAUAGGAAGAGCCACCUUGAAGUACAUAAUAAAAUGGAUCGAAACUCAUCCAAACUUAGCUUUAGACAAUCAACCAAGCGACAGUGAGGUACUGGCAGACAAUUUUUGUUUUGCUACCAACAUCUUUAAAGUAACUUAUUUUAUUUGUAACGUUCUAAUUUUAUCGGAUAUUUAAAAAUGCUUCCAUUUUUAUUUUUUAUAAAAAAAAUUCAAAAUAAUGAUCCUAAAGGACAGGGGAAAAACAAAGGUGACCUACUCUCAAUCAUGAUUGAUGCCAACUAUUGAUUUAUAGUUGUUUAGUAUUUUUAGUUGGGCGAAUGGUGAAUGCAUGUACAGAAAACAUAAACUGGUUUUCCUUUGGCAUACUCAUUUUUAAAUGUUUGAGAGGAAUAUUGCAUGAACUUGGCCUCUUUUUCUGAGCUCAAAGUCAGUUAUGGGCACAUACUAGAUUAAAAAACCAAUCCGCAUUCAAAAGUUGUUCUGAUAGCAAACUUGAAAGAGGGUAAGGCAAUACCUAGUUAAAGUCCAAAAAAUAAUACAGUUGACAUUGCCUAGUACCCUACCCAAUGAUCAAGAAUGUCUUUCCAGGCCAUAGAGGAUUUGUUUUUUUUCCUUUUUUUCUUUUUUGAGUAAGAAAAGAAAGUAGAGCUUCUAAAAUAUUUAGUUCUCUGCAAGGGACUCAAGCAAUUAAGAUCAGUUACCCUUGCAAUUAAGGUCUUGGGUUCAGCCUCUAGGGUUCUAAUAGGUAUAGGAUAUAGGUUUUUUUGUUCUUUCCCUUGUUUCUUUUUGUACUUUUGGUUACUAAGGAGGUAGGAAGGGAAAGGGAGCCUGGUGUUAUAUAUGCUCUCCACCAUUUAAACUAAACCCCCAUUAAGCAUUAGAAUUUAAUCAAAUAGUUUCCAAAUGACCCCUUUUUCCUUUUUUCUUCCUCGUUCAUUUUAUAUAUUUUGCUCUAUUUGUGCACAUUGCUUAGAGAUGCACAAGGCUUGGGCUUGGAUAAGGUUUUGAGAAUGCUUGCAGACAGCCCAAAAGGCAUAUUUGCUUUAGGACCAGGCAGGCAAGAUCGAGUAAAAUUGUACACCAGUAUUAACUCUAAAACAAAAACGAAAAAACAUUGUAAGAUGGUAUGUCAUUCACCCAAAUCUCAAAGCCAUCUUAUUUUAGUUGAACAUAGCUUGUUUAGUUGUUAUUUUUGGAUGUGGUAACAAUUUAUUUCUUAUAAUCAAAGGGCCGUAUGCUGUGGUAAAUGUUGUUCUGUCUUUUUUUCAUUUUUUUUAAUACAGACAAUAGUCUAAACUACAGAAAUAGGAAUUUCACACACACAUACACACAACCUCUGAUAUGUAAGUCAAAACCCUUUUUUAUUGGGCUAGACCCCGUUGGCAACGUUGUUCUAUCUUAAUUUGGUUGCUUGUGGGCACAUUUCAACGUUGCCAACUUUCACUUGAUCUGUUUGUGGGGUGUUCGGUGUUUGCAUCUUUCUUUCUACUUUGUAAUUUCUUUCCAUUGAAGAACAUGCUCUGAGCAAAUAUGCCUGUGUUCCAGUCAGUUCAAGGAAUGAAAGUUGUGUGUCAUGAGCUGGUACAGUCGACCGAUGAUCCGCAACGCAGUGCUAGAGAUGAGUUAGUGAGGGAUGCAGAUAGACUUGUUUCUCGCUUAGCAGAUAAGGUAGCCAAGACUUUUGAGUUCAGUUUGACAGGAGCUUCAUCUAGGUCUUGUAAAUACGUCCUGAAACACUCUUAUGCAGAAAUUUCAAAAUAAUUACUAACACUAACAUAAAAUCAAUAGGGCAUAUUUAACAGCAAUUCAUUUUGCAGAAAAAGAACAGAAAAUAUUGAUCCAAUUUCAAAAACCUUGAGAGCUACAAUAGCCUCUAUACACAUACUUGAGACCUAUAUUACAAGUUAGCACCUGAGGAUUCUGAUUACGCGACGAGUAAAACCCAAAUGAAGAUUCAAUCCUCAAGCCAAAAACACAUGGAAUCAAUAGGCUUAAACCACCAGAGGAAUUUACCUCAAUAUACUAACCGCUGUCAUGGAUCAUGGAUUAUCUGUUGUACAUUCCAUACCUUACACUCACACUCCUCAACUGCAAAAGAUUUUAUACCAUUUAAACAGCUGCAAGAUUGUUAUGGACAUAGUAAAACGCCUGACACAUCUAGCCUUUCUUUCUUUAAAAGUUCUACACAUCUAACCUUCACUGUAGACCUGGAUAAUUGGUCAUAGUUAUGGACAUAAUAAAAUGCCUCACUACAUGGAAAUGCAUUGCUAAUUUGUUAUCAAAAUCAAAAAAUUUAAUAACUCAUAUUCAUAUUUACCUUUACAAUGCUCUUGUAUCAUUCACACUUUGUAGUAACAUUGUACUGCUUGAGUGCUUCUGAAGUUUCUAAGAUUUUCUUACAGAAAGCAGGACUUUUUAUCUAAGAUUUUCUAAGAUAUCUUUGGUACAAAUUGUGUACAAAUCGUUGAAAUUAAAUUAUUUUUUUUUAAACACUUCUAAUAUAAUAUAUUAUGCAACCUGGAGUUAGUGAACAUAUGCAUCAAAAUGUUCUUAAAUCAACCGCCUCGUUUUAGCCUCUUUAUUCUCUCAAGGGCGCCAAGGUGGGUGUCACCAUCCUUGGUCGCAGCAGCAACAUCUCCACCCUCAUCUUUUUCAGCCUCCUUUCUCUUGUUAGCCAACUCUCCAAAAACAGCAGAUGGGACCUCCUUUAGUGCAAUUUCAACCAUUUCAUCAUCUUCUGAAUCACUUUCUUCCAGUAGCUUAAUUUCUUCAUGAAUUGCAGUAACUUUGAUCUCUUUGUCCAUCUGUGAUUCUACUCCAGCACUCACAAAGCCCACUUUUCUGUUACUAUCUUUGGUGGUAGUGUCUUUAGCCACAGGUGCCAACUGCCUCUCUAAAGCAGCCAUUUCAUCUUCAGGGACUCCAGCCUGUUUCAACUUGUGUUUUGCCUCAUCAAUGUUCAACCUCUGAUCCUUUUGCAUCAUAUACUCGGGUAGAAUAAAGUGUGUCUGGCUAUAGCUUGCAGAAACACUUCGCUUAAUUUGAAGCAUCUCUCGGAAGGUAUCUUCAUUUCCAUGUUGCACCUCAAACUCAUGCCAUUUGUUCCAGAAAUCUACAUCAGAUCGUGGAUCCGAAAACUGUGAUGCAAAUAUAUAUACUCCCCGAGCACGAUCAAUUUCUCCCAAGCUCUUCUCAAGCUCAGUAUACUUCAAACACAUUGUCUUCACAUCUUUGUCUGGAAGACCGGAUUUUAUUGCUUGCUCAUAUAUUUCCCUUGUUUUGGGGAUGCCAAAUAUUUCUGCAGCACGGGCAAUGUACAUUUCAUACAUGCUCAAUUUAUCAUGGUUUGGAACAGCCUUAGUUGCUUCAUCAUAGAUCUUCAUAGCGCGCUUUGCUAGACCAUAAUCCUCCUCCAGAUUUGCAAAUUGAAGAUACAAAGGUUUCUUUGCAUCAGCAGGCGCUGCUUGAACAGCAUCCUCAAAUAGCUGUCUUGCACGUUCCAGUUCUUUCUUCCCAUAUCUCUUUACAAAUUUAGAGAGAUAUGUAACCCAUAUGUCUUUGACAUGUGGGUACUUAAAUAUUUUGGUACCUUUUUCAUACACCUUGAACGCAUCUUCAAAGUAUUUAUGCUUCUCCAGAAGCAAUGCAUAAUUGAUUAUGAUUUGUGGUGUGGCUAUCUUCAAAUCCAUUAUCCUCUCAUAAACAGCCCGGGUGGACUCCAAUUUACCAAGGCUCUCCUCUAAAUCCACGUAAAAAGUCCACAUUCUCAAGGACUUUUGCAGCUUCAUCUGAACCGGUUGGUUACCAUCAGCCGCCACUCUGCGUUUCACCUCAACGGAUGGCUCUGCGGUGGCCAGCCUCAUUAGUUCCAGUGCUCCUUUGAAAUUCUUAUGCCUCAAUUCCAUUUCUGCCCACUCACACCAAAGACUAGCCAAAUAAUCCACUGUCUUGUAGUUCACCUGAACUGCUUUAUCAAAAAUCACUCUUGCAUUUGCAAUAUCUUUGUGAUUCUCGUACAACUUAGCAAACGCAACCCACAACGUAUGAGGCUUUCCCACUGCUUUCAUUGGAUCAACCGUCCUCACAGCCUCUGUGUAAGUAAGUAUCUGCUUUGUGGGAUUACCCUCAAAGAGCUUCACUCUUUGGUGCCACUGCUCUACAUUAUGGGGAUUUUGUCGUAAAAGAACACUAUUAGCCAGUAUAGGACUUCUAUCCAUAAGAUGCUCCAAUCGAGCCAACCUCAAAUCUACGUCCUUAUCAUCAUGUAACCAAAACCCAUUAAGCAUUUCCUUCUCAAGCUCAGCCACAGACAAGUUAACAUCCAAUCGAAGAUCAACUUCCUCCUCAUUUCCAUCCUCUUCUACCCCAUUUUCUUCUUCCUCCUCUUCAUCACUCAAAUCCGCAGUCUCCAUCUUAUGGAUAAGCAUGCUAUCUUCAAACCCAACAUACGAAUCGAAAAUUACACUAAAAUCUCUUACCGUUACCACAGUAGUCAUACCCUCCUCAAAUAUAUCCCUAGCUUUCUCGUGCAAAUUCCUCCUAAUGUAAUAGUCAGCAAGUGAGGUCCACAACCGUCCCACCUCGUCUGUAAAUUUCCUAAUCCCACCUCUAAUAAUAGCAUCUACAUUGAGGCCUGACACCUCCUUAGCGUGCUUAGCAAGCAAAUCACACAAUUCCAACCACAGCCUAUGUUUCGUUUUCCCCUUUAUCGAAUAGAACUGGUCAUCAUUCAACACUGAAGCCAGCCUCUCGGCAGCCUCUUGCCAAAGACUAGAAUUUAUCAAGAACUCAAUGAAUUUUUCAAUAUGGGUAGGGUCAUAUUUCAAAUACCUGCGAUAAAGCCGAAGCGAGGUCUCAAUUGGAAUACCCUUUCGGCUCACGAACUCCAGGUACGGGUCCCAAAUGCCGUCGUGCUGCGUCACUGGAAGAGCACACAGCGCUCUGUCGAAGGUCCGGCGAGUCCGAGUGAACAACUUCUGCUCCGUCAAAGUUUGCAAGUACCGAAUCCAAAUUUUGGGCAUUUUGUGCAUAGUAACCAGGGCUCUUUCAAAAGUGUUGUUGAGGGUUUCAUACUGGAAGUGAGUGAUGGGUAAAUUGCGAACGAGCUCGAGGCGUUCGUGAAGGUAAGCGGACCAAAGCUUGUAGCUCCCAGGAAGGGCCUUGAGUGCUCGCUCGUAGAUUAUAAAACGCUUCUUGAAUGGAGAUUCGGAUCGAGCGAUUAGGUAACGCCACCAUACCUUCAGGCUAAAGGGGUUUCGGAGAAGCUCUUCUUCGUAAAGAAGGUCGUCUUGGGAUGGGUAAAGCUCUUGAGAGAUCGACAUAUGAAGUUGAAUAAUCGGGAAUUUUCUAUGUAUUCGGAGGCCAUAUAUAUAAUACACUCCUCCUAAGCCAAGUCAAAAUAUAAUUCCUAAUUCUAAUUAGGGUAGGAAAUUAAAAGUAGAUAGAUAAAUUACAGUCAAUUUGGGAAAGUAAGGUCAACUCAAAGCUAAACUCUCUUUUCAAGUUGGUGCAUAGAUGUCUCUAAUGCUCAACUUGUCUAUAAGGCUCGUACUAAUUGGAAAAUAUGUGUUGCACUUGCAAGUAAUUAAGAGGUCCAGAAUAAGCAAGUUAGGAUGUGAAUUUAUUUAUUCAAAUAAGUGGUAUUUUUAGUCAAUUUGAAAUACUUAUAUAUGUAAUUUUAAAAAAUAAAUUUGAACUAAUGUGAAACUUGUACAUUAACCCAGACAUGAGCAUAGCUCUUGAGGCUGCAUUUGUUUUCUCUACUAAUUUGAAAGAUAUGAUUUCAACUAUAUAGAGCCUAAUUUUCACCAUAGGGUAUCAAAUGGACAAAUCUCAUCCAGGCAAUCAACUAGGUACUAGCAGACAAGUUUUGUUUUUGCUACCAGCAUCUUCAAUGUAAAUUAUUUGUUUUGUAUCGUUCUAAUUUUAUCGGAUGCUUUUAAUUUUUAUUUUUUUUAAGAAAUUUAAAAUAUAAUGAUCCUAAAGGACAGGGAAAAAAGUAAGGUGACCUAAUCUUAAUCAUGAUUGAUGUCAACUAUUGGUUUAUUCUGUUUAGUCUUUUUGGUUGGGAGAAUGGUGAAUUCAUGCACAUAAAACAUAAACUAGUUUUCCUUCGGCAUGGUCAUUUUCAAAUGGAGGAAUGUUGCAUGAACCGGGCCUCUUUUUCUGAGCUCAAAGUCUAUGGGUAAAUAGUAGAUUUAAAAACCAAUCCACAUUCAAAAGUGCAGAGUAAAAAUUAGAGUUGCCAUUGCCUAUCUACUAAUAGGUAGAAAGGAUAUUAGGUUUAUUUAUUUAUUUUUCUUUUGGUAACUAAUGAGGUAGGAAGGGAAAGGGAGCCUGGUGGUAUAUAAUAUAUAUGCUCUCUACCAUUUAAAAUCUCCAGAAAAUAUUAGAAUUUAAUUCAAUAGUUUCUAAUUACCUUUUUUUUUUCCCCCUUUUUUCCUUGUUCAUUUUUUCAUAUUUUGCUCUAUUUAUGAACAUUGCUUAGAGAUGCAGAAGGCUUUGGUUUGAUUAAGGUUCCCAGAAUGCUUGCAGGCAUCCCAAAAGGCAUGUUUUCUUUAGGACCAGGUAUGAUCGAUUACAAUUGAUCACAACUAGUAUAACUAUAUAAAAAAAACAGUCAGAUGGUAUGUCAAUCACCCAAAUCUUAAAGCCAUCUUGUGGAAAUAGUUACUAUAACAAUACCAUAAAAAACAGUAGGGCAUAUUUAACAGCAAUUCAUUUUGCAGAAAAAGCACAGAAAACAUUGAUCCAAUUUCAAAAACUUUGAGAGCUACAAUCGCUUCUAUACACACACUUGAGACCUACAUUACAAGUAGCACCUGAGGAUUCUGAUUACGCGACGAGUACAAGCCAAAUGAAGAUUCAAUCCUCAAGCCAAAAACACAUGGAAUCAAUAGGCUUAAUCCACCGGAGGAAUUUACCUCAAUACACUACAUGGAUCAUGGAUUAUGGAGGCUGUUGCUGUUGUACAUUCCAUACAUUACACUCCCACUUCUCAACUGCAAAAUAUUUUAUACCAUUCAAACAGCUGCAAGAUUGUUAUUGGGGGUGGAGGUUGGCAAAAAGAGAUGAUGAAGAAAUAAAGUGUACCCGCUCAACAGCAUUUGCCAUGCCCGACACAUCUAGCCUUUCUUUCUUUAAAAGCUCUACACGAUCCCGAAGACACUGAUUCUGUUCUUCAGCCUACAUUUGGGGAGGAAAAAAAUUAAAAAAAAUUAAAAAAUUAAAAAAGAAAAAGAAGAAGCAAACACUCGUAUUACGUUACAAUUAAAUAAACGUUCCUUUUAAAAUGUGAGAGAAUAAAUUCAAUGAGAUAAUGCAUGCUUUGGAAGUGAAGGAAUUUGUCUGGAGAGGAUUUCACAUCAACAAUAAACCAGAUGUGUGUGCGCAGUUGUGAGAGAGAGAGAUGUUCAAAUUUGAUUAACCAUCAACCCCAUAAAAAGUUUCUGGACAGCCAAACGAGUAGAAACUAGGAAAAGUUACCAUACUACAAGCUAAGGGGAAAACAUCAGUGAAUCAAUGCUCUUCAAUUAAAAACCCAUGCACUAAUUGACAGACCUUUAAGGAUGGUCUAACUGCAGAAGUUAACAGUGUCAGAAAGUUAGGGGAAAUACAACACAGGUAUCAAUGUAACAGCAUCUUUGACCUAAGUGGCCAAGUACUACAUCAUCUGAGGAUAUGUAUGCAUACACUCGUGUAAACAAUUUCACAUCUUAGACUAAUAUCAUUGAAACAAUAAAGCUUAAAAGGGUCGACCUUGUAUUGGCUGGCUCCUUUUUAAUUUCAGACCGCCCACAGCUUUGAGUACCCAGUACAUAUUGUUUAUCAACUUACCAGAACACUUUUUCCCAGUAAGAAUUUCUUCCAUGCGUAUCCCAGCUACAUACUUGUUUUAUGCACAAAUGAUAGGGUGAAAACCCUUGACUAGUAAAAGUGCUUGGUAACUGUUCCACAGGGCAUAUCCUAUUACCUGGGAUUUAAUCUCGCCUUUAUAGGAUUUGGGGUUUUACUCAGUGUCGGCUGAUAUGCCCAGUGGAACUCCAAUUGAUCUCAAUGAACCAGACAGAUGUGAGACCCUAGCACUCUUGAAUUCUAGAACACAAUAUAUAUACUCAGUGUGUGUAUAAAUGUUGGACAAUUCCCUGUGUCGACUGAUAUGCCCAGUGGAACUCCAAUUGAUCUCAAUGAACCAGACAGAUGUGAGACCCUAGUACUCUUGAAUUCUAGAACACAAUAUAUAUACUCAGUGUGUGUAUAAAUGUUGGACAAUUCCCUAAAAACUAGAUGAUAUCAUCUCUACCAAGCAGCUUUUAAUUGGAGUUUAAGUUUGAAUAUAUCUACCGUUUCCAGCAUCUUUGUCAAGUACUGGAUUUGAUCCUUCUUCAUUGUGGACAGAUCAUGAGCAACAUCCAUUACAUUAGUCCUGCAUGAAUACACAUGUUUAAACAAUGAAGUUUACACUAAUAGGCACUGUAAGAGAUAAUAUGAAAUGUAACUAUAUAGAUUAAGAUGGAUACUAUCAAGAUAAGGCUCCCUUCCACCAUAGUACCAAAACAAAAGUGGAUAAGACCACCUCUUGGACGGUUUUCAGGCACUGUUAGAGUAGUGGGGGCAAUUGGGGAGGUGGGGGGAUGUAUGUACAGAACCUCUACAACUUCAACAAUGGAAGUAAACACAAGGGCCUUUAUUAUACACUCUUGUAAGCUUCAUUAGUUACCAAAGCAAAUGAACACUAGCCUAAACAAAAGGGCCUUUAUUAUACACUCUUGUCUUCCCCCUUGCAUUCAUAUGUUCUGCAUGAACAUAUGUAUCUUGUACUUACCAUUCUAUUGAAACAUGAUGGCAUGUGUUGCAUUACAUUUAGGAUGAGUUAUGAAUCUUGGCAAUUUUAACAGUCAACCAACACUCAGUUUCUUUUUCUUUUAUAUUUUUUUUUUUUGGUCCAAGGAAAGGAGUUACUAAAAGGCCAUAUAUUCAUUUUGUCAAGAAAUCAAGAAAAUACUUACUUAUCUGAAAACAAACGAUCCAGAGCUUGUUCUUCCACAAGUUGUUCAACAGUAUCAAGAGCAGUUCCCACCUGCAAGCAGAGAGAGACUAUACAUAACAAGAAAAUAUAUUGGAUGCAAAGAAUAAAUAAAACGAUGAUGUAUAAUAUAUAAUGUAUAUUAGAAGUUAGAACCAAGAGGAUCUUGAACUAAUAGUUAGGUAAAAAAGAAAAAAAAAACAUCGGAGCAGGGUUAGUUUGCUUAUUAAUUCUAUUUGUAAACUGUAUACAAGCAUGCAAGGCACAUCAUACAGCCAUAAAUGCUAUCGUUUUCACUCAGCAGUAAUCAUCUGAAGAUUCCAUCUGUUAGACAUGUGAUUCCUUUAGGAUUGUAAUAAUGUCUAAAUCAGUAAGAACCAGAGGUACUUCUUGUUGCCUGCAUAAAACAUGAAUGAGUUGGGUCUUAGGAAUCAUCAUUAGCCACCACUAGUUCCCUCUCGUCAUGGAACCUCUAAUUGAAUCAACUAUUACUCCAUUUUCGGAAAUUACUUAAAAACAUAAAUGAUCGAAAAAAUGUCAUCAUUUCACUGGACAUGGGUAUGAGCCUAUUUAUACACGAGGCUUCAAAUUACACAACACAAGGGCCCAGCAUAUGCAUGUUGACACAAAUUACUAAAUGUUUCUUUGAAAACUAAUAAAAUUCUAAAACUUAUCCCAUGUUUUUCCUAAUCAUGGUAAAUCCUACUUCUAUCCUUUCAGUCCUUGGUAUUCCUCUUUUUACUAAAAUUUUCAUCUGCAGUGCCUUCUGGUAUCAGAAUUUGCCCGAAUUUUAAUGACUUGCUCUAAAACCAGUUCAUCAUCUUUUUCCUUUUUUUUAAUCCAUAAUAGUUUUGUAUAAAUAUAUCAAGAAUAUCACGGGUCAGCUAGGUGUCUAAGCAUGUCUUAAUGUAUUCAUUUCCAAAAUAGGUCUAACUAAACGACCGUCUAAUGCAUAACCAUAUUUUCUUUGCUAAAAUCGCAUUAAUUGGUGGCAGUCAGUCAGCCAGUGGAAUGAACAUUUCUUGUUAAGUAACUCUACAAUAAAGCUGCAAUUACAUUAACACAAACUCCAUGUAAAAGAAAUUCAUUACUAAGGUAUAAAUUAAGACUCAAAUAAAACAACUAUCAGACCCAACUAGAACUCUUUUAUGACAACCAGAAGGCUAUUUACACGAGAAAAUAUGCAUCGUGCAUUAAAGUGACCUCCCUCACUUAAAACUCACUCUCUCUAAUUUCAGAAAUAACUUGUAAGCUAAUUACACAGAAGAAUCUACAUAAGUUGUUAAAUGGAAUAACUGUGCAUUAAUGGCAUCACAAAAUAUUGAUUUGUAUACCUGUGUUUCAAGGCAUACUGACUGAAACUCAUCCUGUAAAAUUAAAAAGGACAAAUUCUUCAGAAUUCAGCUGAAAGCAUUAUAAAAUACAUUAUCACAUAUAAAUACACAAAUAAAUACUCCUGAUGAGACCCCCAAAUGCACACCACCAUUCAACAUAUCAUUAAAUCCUUUGAUAAGAACAUUUAAGAAAUCAAGAGAAGAAAUGCAUUGUUAAUAUUGGCAAAUGGUAUGAAAUGAAUUACCUCUACAUUUCCAUGCAAAGAAGUGAUGACCUGAAAAUUUGUAUACGAUAUCAAUGAAAUGAGCAUUUGUUCUGAAUUUGAACUCAAAAAAGAGACCCUCUAUCCAAAUCUCUGCUUACAAAGUGCAGAGAAAUAAACAAAAUGUCUACAUCGAUUAUUAAAUGACAUUAUCUGUACCUGAAUAAACAUCCUAUGAAGACGCUCUUGCUCGGCAGUUGUAAAAUUCGGAAAUGCUUGGCAAAAUUCCUUUUGUGUUCAUCAUAAAAAAAAGUUAGUCAAUUGAAUCUGGAGGAAGAAAUGCAUAAAUUCGAAAGAAUAAAAUAAAAUUUCCAGACACAAUGAAAUGGGUAUCUUUUGACUUUGAAAUGGCAAUUGAGCAAACCAAUUUCUAAAGAAGAUGAAAUUGUAAGUAAAGAAACCUGCUUAGAACAGGGAGUGAGCAGGGAACGAAUGCAGAACUUGAAGGAUUUCUUCAUCUCCAUAUGCCUCGUCCCCAUCGCAGACACAAAAGAUUCUGAUUUUUUAUAGAGAUACUACAGAAAGAUUUAAGAUCCACACAAGACCAGAGUGAUUCAACACAACAUUCAAAACUAAGUAAACCGUGCAUCGUGAAAUUAGGGUUUACUAGAAUCCAGAAAUUGAAGUGAAAUCUAAAGAAAAUAAAGAGGGAAAUGUAUACCAGCAGAAAUUGAAGUGCCUACGGUAUCUUCUUCUUGUAGAUGCAGAUGUCGUGGUCCGGCUCGUGAAGACUCCCAAAGAUAGUGAGUGAAAUUUGAGAACAAACAAAAGGAAAAUAGAAAGAGAGGGAAAUUUGAAUGCUAGCUAUUUUUGUGGGUUUGAAAUGAAUAAUAAGAAAUGCUAAAAAUAUGAGGCUAAGUCAAUAAUAAGUAUUAUAUAAAGAAAUAAGUGAAUCUUGAAUUAACAAGCGCAUCUGGUGUAGUGGUAUCAUAGUACCCUCCCACGGUACUGACCAGGGUUCGAUUCCCUGGAUGCGCAUUUCACUCUUUUAGCAUUUUUCAAUUUUAUGAUUUAAGUCUCACACCUUACUCUCCGUUAUAACUCAGAAUUUAACUAAAAGUCGAGAGCGCCAAACUUAAAAACAGCACCAAAAACCUAUGAAACCCUGGACAACAAAUUCCCUUGUCGCUUUAUAAACAAAAGCGCUGCGAACCAGAGAAAUAAGGAGAAGGAGUUCUUCUUGGGUUACACAUCUCUUUGGAUCAAGUUUGAAGGUUAGUCUUCAAGCCUUUCUCUCCUUCAAUUUAUAUUUUUCUAGUUUAGGGUUACCAUGGUUUCUAAAUGGCUAUCAAAAUUGGGUAUUUCUGACUAAAUUUAUGAACGUAUUGAAUGGGUUUUGUGAUCUUUGCAGCACUAUGGCUGGGUUUUGGGAAAUCUUAACAAAACACUCUAUGCCCAUGGAUAUUGGUGUGUGAUUUGUGUUUAUGGUACAGUUCUGUAGUUGCUUUGUUAACUUUAUCACUUUGAAUUAGCUAAUAUACUUCACGAGGAGCGCAACUUAGGUCACAAAGGAGAUGGUGGAUGGAAGGCAGUUGCUUGCAAUACUGCUGAAAAUAUAUUAGCUGCACAAUUUAAUCUCCAGAUAAGUGCUAAUAAUAUUAGAAAUCGUGUUAAGUCAUGGAAAAAGUUCUAUAGAGUAGUGAGUGAUAUAUUAAGUCAAAGUGGAUUCAAUUGGGAUUCAACAAAAAAAGAUAAUAAGUGUAGAUGAAGAUCAUGUUUGGGAAGAUAUGUGAAGGUAAAUGUAUAUAUAUAUAUAUAUAUAUUAAAUUUAUCACGUGCUUUUUUGUUGUUGUUGUUGUUGUUAAAGAGUACUUUUAAGAUUCUUAUUUGACUUUGAUUAUUUGUUUGGUAGUCUCAUGACGAUGCUAGAGGUUUUCGAUUUAAAGUUAUAGAAAAUUGGGAUGAUAUAGUAGAUUUGUGUGGCAAAGAUAGAGCCACUAGAGAGGGCGCUGAAACAGAUGCAUAUGCAACUGAGGUUAUGACUCCUACUAAUGAAGUUGAUCAUAUUGAUUUAGAUGGUGAUACACAAGGUUAUGACUCCUACCAAAAGAUGUUGGUUGAAUCAUACAAAGGACAAGCUACCAAAAUUGCUAUGUAAAAAUUGUGGUGGUAUCAAAUCCCAUAUAAAGCAUGAGAAUGGCCACUUUUGAUAAUCAUUUCAAUUUUAGUUUUUUUUUUUUUUUUUGGGGUACUAGAGUAUAGAGGAAAAUGAGAGUGAGAAUGGGGGUGAGAGUGAGAUUGAGAGAUAGGAUGAGAAGGGGGGAUGAGAGAAGGCAUAACAAAAGUGAAAGCAAAAUCUUGAAAAUAAAAUAGUUUGAAAUAGAUUUCCGUUUUUAGUUUUUGUUUUCGCUGUUGUUACUCCUCCCUCUCAUCCUCUCAUCUCGUCUUCACUCUCAAUCUCAUCUCCACUCUUAUUCUCACUUCCAUUCUCCCUCUUUUUCCUCUAUACUCUAGCACAAAAAAUGAAA